rnacentral:rRNA from 1 species
GACGAACGCUGGCGGCGUGCUUAACACAUGCAAGUCGAACGAUGAAGCCGGAGCUUGCUCCGGUGGAUUAGUGGCGAACGGGUGAGUAACACGUGAGCAAUCUGCCCUUGACUCUGGGAUAACUGCGGGAAACUGUAGCUAAUACCGGAUACGACACCUUGGGGCAUCCCAGGGUGUGGAAAGAAUUUCGGGCAAGGAUGAGCUCGCGGCCUAUCAGCUAGUUGGUGAGGUAAUGGCUCACCAAGGCGACGACGGGUAGCCGGCCUGAGAGGGUGACCGGCCACACUGGAACUGAGACACGGUCCAGACUCCGACGGGAGGCAGCAGUGGGGAAUAUUGCACAAUGGGCGAAAGCCUGAUGCAGCAACGCCGCGUGAGGGAUGAAGGCCUUCGGGUUGUAAACCUCUUUUAGCAGGGAAGAAGCGAAAGUGACGGUACCUGCAGAAAAAGCACUGGCUAACUACGUGCCAGCCGCCGCGGUAA